ACAGAAUGUGGAGAUCAGCUGUGUGGUUACAGAGCAGAAUGUAGGGCGGACACGGCUGGGUGUAGAUGCUCAUUCAACAAUGGCGUACUAAUAGAACUGACGGGCACAUCCCCAUCCCUGUGGUACUGUGUGGAAUCCUGCAGGUCAGGUAGCAUCUGUAAUGGCAACACCGCGUGUACGGAAAUAUUGAAUACAAACAUGUACCGGUGUAACUGUUUACCAGGAGCAACACUGUCACCCACAGGACAAUGCCUGGGUGGAAGUACCACAGCCGUGUGGGCUUCAACUACCAAUGUCAUCACACACCCCCCAAGUCCAUCCCAAGGUAAGUCAGUAGAUUUUGAUUUUAUUUAUCAUAUACACGUGUAUCCUUGUAAAGCAUUAAAAAUACACAGUAGCAUGAAAAUAAAUUAAAUAUUUUUCUUUAUUUUUCAUAAGGGUUUUCCAAAAAAAUUCUUUUCUUACGAACUAUGGUAUGGUUUGGUUUACAUUUCUAAAUAAUCUAAAUCAAACACAUAUGCUAUGGGGAAAAAUCCGACACAAUAUCGAGAUGAUGAUUAGCUCAAAUUCAUUCUUCUUCACCGCACCCAUAUGCUAUGCCAUUUCCCUGAAGGUGGGUUUGGUCCUCGCGGCUUUGUUGUCAGCUAUUAAACCAGUCAAAAUAUCAACAACUUUGUCCAGGGUUGGGUUAAUAUUGGGAUGGGUGGUUUUAAGAACAACAGGUAAUAACUUGGUACCCAAGUUUUAUUGGUCUAGGGUUUACUUUUGCAAUCGCAAUAUGUGUUAAAUAAUAACCGUGGUUCCCGACUAUAAAUUUCAGAAUGAGCACUAUGAAGGUUUGCAGUUGACUUUUAAGAAAUAAAAUUGCAUAACAUGUUUGAAAACAAUGCUAAAAAAUUCUGCCAAACAAAUUGAUAUAG